GGGAACCUAUGGCUCGCGAGCCAGAUAUGGCUCUUUUGGUGACUGCGUAUGGCUCACGGACAAAUCUGACAUUUGUUUACACAAUUGAAGUCAUAAAUAAUUUCGUUAUAUUAUCAAAGUAAAAAAUAGACCCACUGAAAUCAAAAUGUUAAAUUAGCUUUCAAAAUAUAAAAUAUGAUCACGUUUGCAAUCCAUCCCAUCUGUUUUCUACCGCUGAAAUCCACGGUUGCCAAACAACUGGAGCGCAAAGGACCAACUAGCU